AUGUCAGAGAAGGAGUUCAGAAGGUUCAUAAUUAAAAUAAUCUGUGAAUUAAAGAAUGACCUAAAUGAGCAAAUAGAAGCAAAAAUUGAUCACUCAAACAAUGAGAUAAAAGAGCAAAUACAGGUAGCAAAAGAUUGCUUCAAGAGAGAGAGACCCUGAAAAAAAAAUCAGUCAGAAAUCCUUGAAAUGAAGGAUACAAUAAAUCAAAUAAAAAACUCAAUAGAAAGCAUAAUCAAUAGACUAGAUCACUUGGAACAAAGUACAUCAGAUAAUGAAGACAAAGUAUAAAAUCUGGAAAAUAAAGUUGAUCAAACAGUGAAGAAAGUUAGAAACCAUGAACAGAAAAUCCAAGAAUUAUUGGACAGCAUCAAAAGACCAAAUCUAAGAGUUAUUGGGAUAGAGGAAGGCACAGAGUUUUAAACCAAAGGAAUGCACAAUCUCUUCAAUGAGAUAAUAUCAGAAAAUUUCCCAAGCAUGAAGAAUGAAUUGGAAAACCAAUUACAGGACACCAAAUGUACAAAAUUACAACAGAUCUACACCAAGGUACACUAUAAUGAAAAUGCCUAGCAUACAGAAUAAGGAUAGAUGUUAAAAGUUGCAAGAGAGAGGAAUCAGAUCACAUAUAGGGGGAGACCAAUUUGUAUCUCAGCAUAUUUUUCAACCCAGACUUUCAAAGCCAGGAGAUUGUGGAACAACAUAUACCAAGCUCUGAAAGAAAAUGGAUGCCAACCAAGAAUCUUAUAUCCAGCACAACUAAAUUUUAGAUUUGAUGAUGAAAUAAAAAUCUUCCAUGAUUAAUAAAAGUUAAAAGAAUUUACAAGUAGAAAGCCUGCACUACAGAACAUCCUCAGCAAAAUAUUCCACGAAGAGAAAAUAAAAAACAAUGAUGAAAGUCAGAAGAGGGAGGGAUUACACUAAAGAAAAAACUAAUCAUAAGAGGAACCAAGUCACAUUAAGUACCAAAAAUUUAAAAAAAAUGGCUGGGAAUACAAAU
rnacentral:lncRNA from 1 species